rnacentral:rRNA from 1 species
AGGAUUCCCCUAGUAACUGCGAGUGAAGCGGGAAAAGCUCAAAUUUGAAAUCUGGCGGUUUUUAACUGUCCGAGUUGUAAUCUAGAGAAGUGUUACCUGUGCUGGACCGUGUACAAGUCUCCUGGAAUGGAGCAUCAUAGAGGGUGAGAAUCCCGUCUUUGACAUGGACUACCAGUACAUUAUGGUGUGCUCUCAAAGAGUCGAGUUGUUUGGGAAUGCAGCUCAAAAUGGGUGGUAAAUGCCAUCUAAAGCUAAAUAUUGGCGAGAGACCGAUAGCGAACAAGUACCGUGAGGGAAAGAUGAAAAGAACUUUGGAAAGAGAGUUAAACAGUACGUGAAAUUGCUGAAAGGGAAACGCUUGAAGUCAGUCGCGUUGGCUAGAAAUCAGCCUUGCUUUUGCUUGGUGUACUUUCUGGUUGACGGGUCAGCAUCAAUUUUGACCAUUGGAUAAAGUCUUUGGGAAUGUGGCAUCCUUGGAUGUGUUAUAGCCCAUUGUCGCAUACAGUGGUUGGGAUUGAGGAACUCAGCACGCCUGCAAGGGCCGGGUUUNGACCACGUUCGUGCUUAGGAUGCUGGCAUAAUGGCUUUAAUCGACCCGUCUUGAAACACGGACCAAGGAGUCUAACAUGCCUGCGAGUGUUUGAGUGGAAAACUCAUGCGCGCAAUGAAAGUGAAAGUUGAGAUCCCUGAAAGGGGAGCAUUGACGCCCGGACCAGACCUUUUGUGACGGAUCCGCGGUAGAGCAUGUAUGUUGGGACCCGAAAGAUGGUGAACUAUGCCUGAAUAGGGUGAAGCCAGAGGAAACUCUGGUGGAGGCUCGUAGCGAUUCUGACGUGCAAAUCGAUCGUCAAAUUUGGGUAUAGGGGCGAAAGACUAAUCGAACCAUCUAGUAGCUGGUUCCUGCGA